UUUAUGGAGAGUUUGAUCCUGGCUCAGGAUGAACGCUGGCGGCGUGCCUAAUACAUGCAAGUCGAGCGAACGGACGAGAAGCUUGCUUCUCUGAUGUUAGCGGCGGACGGGUGAGUAACACGUGGAUAACCUACCUAUAAGACUGGGAUAACUUCGGGAAACCGGAGCUAAUACCGGAUAAUAUUUUGAACCGCAUGGUUCAAAAGUGAAAGACGGUCUUGCUGUCACUUAUAGAUGGAUCCGCGCUGCAUUAGCUAGUUGGUAAGGUAACGGCUUACCAAGGCAACGAUGCAUAGCCGACCUGAGAGGGUGAUCGGCCACACUGGAACUGAGACACGGUCCAGACUCCUACGGGAGGCAGCAGUAGGGAAUCUUCCGCAAUGGGCGAAAGCCUGACGGAGCAACGCCGCGUGAGUGAUGAAGGUCUUCGGAUCGUAAAACUCUGUUAUUAGGGAAGAACAUAUGUGUAAGUAACUGUGCACAUCUUGACGGUACCUAAUCAGAAAGCCACGGCUAACUACGUGCCAGCAGCCGCGGUAAUACGUAGGUGGCAAGCGUUAUCCGGAAUUAUUGGGCGUAAAGCGCGCGUAGGCGGUUUUUUAAGUCUGAUGUGAAAGCCCACGGCUCAACCGUGGAGGGUCAUUGGAAACUGGAAAACUUGAGUGCAGAAGAGGAAAGUGGAAUUCCAUGUGUAGCGGUGAAAUGCGCAGAGAUAUGGAGGAACACCAGUGGCGAAGGCGACUUUCUGGUCUGUAACUGACGCUGAUGUGCGAAAGCGUGGGGAUCAAACAGGAUUAGAUACCCUGGUAGUCCACGCCGUAAACGAUGAGUGCUAAGUGUUAGGGGGUUUCCGCCCCUUAGUGCUGCAGCUAACGCAUUAAGCACUCCGCCUGGGGAGUACGACCGCAAGGUUGAAACUCAAAGGAAUUGACGGGGACCCGCACAAGCGGUGGAGCAUGUGGUUUAAUUCGAAGCAACGCGAAGAACCUUACCAAAUCUUGACAUCCUUUGACAACUCUAGAGAUAGAGCCUU
rnacentral:rRNA from 1 species